rnacentral:lncRNA from 1 species
AAGAGAGAAUCAACCAAGGGGAGAUGGUCCCAGAAGUCAAACAGAAGGGAGUGAUUCGCUGUGAUGAAUGCUGCAGAGGCCAAAUAAGGUGGGAACUUUGGCUUUAGACAUGUGGACAUUAGAGUGAUCUUAGACUGAGAAGUUUUAAGAGAUGAUAGGGUUGGAAUUUCAUUGGGAAUAAUUUGAAGAGUAACAGGGGAGAAAAUAGAGACAACAAAAGCACAUACUCUUUAAAGAAGUUUUGCUAUACAGGAGAUAGAAUAAUGGAUGGGCAGGCAUAGGAGAUCAAGGAAGCAUCUUUUUAAAAACUACAGACGUCAGCAUGUUUAAACAAGAAGAGAGAGUGUGACAGAGAGGGAGAGGAAAGAAAGUUGGAGUAAGAGUGAGAAAGAGUAAGAUUAAUAGAUAGCAAAAUAUAGCUGGGCGAGGUGGCUCAUGCCUGUAAUCUCAGCACUUUGGGAGGCCGGGCGGGGGGAAAAUGUUUCACGAGGUCAGGAGUUCGAGACCACCCUGGCCAACAUGGUGAAACCCCGUCUGUACUAAAAAUACAAAAAUUAGCCGAGUGUGGUGGCUCAUGCCUGUAAUCUCAGCUACUUGGCUGGCUGAGACAGGAGAAGAAUCCCUUGAACCUAGGGAGGCAGAGGUUGUAGUGAGCCAAGAUCGUGCCACUGCACUCUAGCCUGGGUGACAGAGAGAGACUCCGUCUCAAAAAAGAAGAAGAAGAAAAAAAGCAUAAGAUAUCCAAGAAAAUUAGAGAGAAUAAGAUUCAGAACCUAAGUGAGUGAACUGACCUUGGACAAGAAGCACAUGUUAUUUGUUGUGUCCAGAGAGAAGAAAAGAUGGGUGUGGAUGAAGAUAGGUCUGGAAAAGAAGACAGCAAGAAGAAGCCACUUUGAGCCCCUAUGAUUUCAUCUUUGAUCCACUCAUCCAGCACUCCAUACUCCUUGAUCCCUACCCACCAAAUUCUCCUUAAAAGCCCUGGUCUCCAAAUGUUCAAGGCGACCGAUUUGAGUAAUAAAACUCUAGUCUCCC